rnacentral:rRNA from 1 species
UACGUAGGGUCCAAGCGUUAUUCGGAAUUACUGGGCGUAAAGCGUACGUAGGCGGUUUGGUAAGUUGGAUGUGAAAUCCUGUGGCUCAACCACAUGGACUGUGUCCAAAACUACCUAACUAGAGCAUAGUAGAGGCAAGUGGAAUUUGCGGUGUAGGAGUGACAUCCGUAGAUAUCGCAAGGAACACCAAUGGCGAAGGCAGCUUGCUGGGCUAUUGCUGACGCUCAGGUACGAAAGCGUGGGGAGCGAACGGG